rnacentral:rRNA from 1 species
UGACCUCAAAUCAGGUAGGACUACCCGCUGAACUUAAGCAUAUCAAUAAGCGGAGGAAAAGAAACUAACAAGGAUUCCCCUAGUAACUGCGAGUGAACCGGGAAGAGCUCAAAUUUUGAAUCUGGCGGUCUUUAGGCCGUCCGAGUUGUAAUCUAGAGAAGCGUCUUCCGCGCUGGACCGUGUAUAAGUUUCCUGGAAAGGAACGUCGUAGAGGGUGAAAAUCCCGUCUUUGACACGGACUCCCAGGGCUAUGUGAUGCGCUGCCGACGAGUCGAGUUGUUUGGGAAUGCAGUCC